rnacentral:rRNA from 1 species
UACGGGGGGGGGCAAGCGUUGCUCGGAAUCACUGGGCGUAAAGGGCGCGUAGGCGGCGCAACAAGUCACUUGUGAAAUCUCCGGGCUUAACCCGGAGCGGUCAAGUGAUACUGUCGUGCUAGAGUGCGGAAGGGGCUACUGGAAUUCUCGGUGUAGCGGUGAAAUGCGUAGAUAUCGAGAGGAACACCUGGCGGCGAAGGCGGGUAGCUGGGCCGACACUGACGGCUGAUGCGGCGAAAGCCAGGGGAGCGAACGGG